rnacentral:rRNA from 1 species
AUUGAACGCUGGCGGAAUGCUUUACACAUGCAAGUCGAGCGGCAGCGCGGGGCAACCUGGCGGCGAGCGGCGAACGGGUGAGUAACACAUCGGAACGUGCCCAGACGUGGGGGAUAGCCCGGCGAAAGCCGGAUUAAUACCGCAUACGAUCUAAGGAUGAAAGCGGGGGACUCGCAAGGGCCUCGCGCGUUUGGAGCGGCCGAUGGCAGAUUAGGUAGUUGGUGGGGUAAAGGCUUACCAAGCCUGCGAUCUGUAGCUGGUCUGAGAGGAUGAUCAGCCACACUGGGACUGAGACACGGCCCAGACUCCUACGGGAGGCAGCAGUGGGGAAUUUUGGACAAUGGGCGCAAGCCUGAUCCAGCCAUGCCGCGUGUGUGAAGAAGGCCUUCGGGUUGUAAAGCACUUUAAGCGAGGAGGAAGGUCUUUGAAUUAAUACUUCAAAGAAUUGACGUUACUCGCAGAAUAAGCACCGGCUAACUCUGUG